GGGAUGUUAGCUCAGUGGAUAAAACACCAGCUUUGGGUGCAGAAGGUUCCAGGUUCAAUCCCUGGUAGGGCUAUGAAAUCCU